GGACUGCCUACAGAGGAAACUUGGGAGUUUCUGGGUUCCCUCCCUAGGCCAUGCUGGAGAGCCAUCAAGGAGUCUACUCCACAAUUACCUCUGAACAACUCCCUGAACCUCGGCCAAGUAAGGAGGCUUCCAAGGAAAAGGCUGCCUUAUACCUAGGUGCUCCAUUCCAGAGGACCACUGGCGCUCAGGUGAACUUCGCUGUUCUUCUGGGUCCCUUCAGAGAUGGAAGAGAAGCAAGAUGCAAUGCAAGACUCACCUAAGAGGAAGAAGGAGACUGUCAUUUGAGCACAGCUCUGGGGAAAUUAAACCAGGUGAUGAAAAGAAUCCAAUGCCUGCUGUGAGUGGAACGGAAGCGAGGAUGUAGCCGUGGGAGCCGCUCUGGUUAGGGUGACUGCCCAGCACUCUUCAUCUGUGUCUCUCAGGCUGACCGGGACUCAAGAAACCAGCAGUUCCGUCUCACCCGAAGCACAGCUACAGAGCAGUUGGAGCAACGGAGAACCCAAACAGAAAAGGCCCGACCAAAGGGAAAGGGCUCUUUCCACACGUGGACAUCAGGGUGACUCAGAUGAGUCACUGCUGAGCGGGUCCCACUUUCCCAAUCUCCCCUGGUUUUCCAGUUUACUAAAAG